CUGAGCUGCGGAGAGGAAGGGGAAGCAGGUGGGACUGGUCCUGCGAGGACCCUGAAAACUUCUCAGGUUUCCCCGCCUCUAAAAGGGCAGGGAAAGAAUCAGGAAUGAUGCAGCCUCAAGCAGGAGUUGAAAUUCCAUGCCCUUGGGCCACUGGUCUGUGUUGCGGAGGACUGGAAGGCAGUGACCAGCAGGCUUUUAGAGAAAUGGAGACGCCCCUGUGAAUUGCGGACCAGGCCAUGAUCCCAGGAUGUGAAUUCUCUCCAGCAGAGCAGAUCCUGCAUCUUUGGCAUUGAUGAAAGGUGUUCUCCUUUUGACCAAAGAAAGCUGGAAGGUGGGCAAUUAGCAAGAUCCUUCUGGUAUUCUUGAUCUUUGUUACAAGCUGAAAGAGCAUUUUUAAUUAGACCAAAUUAUCUAGUUUGGCUGUCCGUGGACAUCAAAGCCCCAGCUGAAAUGUCUGUUUUAUUUUGUGGGUGUAGACAUGGCUAUGUGCUGUGAUUUUUAAGGUGUUAAACACUGCCUAUGGGCAUAUUUUAUGGAGAAAUAAACACACA